CGCAGCAGAAGCGGCUGCGUCUUAUUCCGGCCCUGCGGAAACCAGCCCGAGGCCGCGGCUUCGUUCAGGCGGCCCCUGAAAGCGGGGCCCGGCUGCCCCUCCCUGACACUACACCGGCACCCGCUGGGAGCGCGGCCGAGCAGGCGGGUGUUUGGCUCACAGGUGCCCUGUGCUCCGGCUACAAGGCCUGGUGCACAAUCACUGCCUGCGGCUUAACUACAAGGCGUGCGUUUGUCUCACGUUAGGCUUUCCUGUGCUGUAGAGGAGAAGCUCAAUUUGACAUCUUGGGAAAGAGGAGACAGCAGGCCCCUUCCCUGUCUGCUAAAUUCUAGUCACAUAUUUUGACCAUUUUCUCUUUUGCCUUCACACUUGACUGUCUCAUGCAUCAACUUGCCUUUCAGGGCUGUGUCAGAAGUAUAAAUCUGGGCUCUUGAGUCUGGUGGAUGGGGGGAAUUUGAGACACAAAUCCUUAACACAAAUGCAUUUUUAUGUAGCUUUAAAGUUUAAUGCUUUCUGUUUAAAAGUAUAAAAUAUACUGUACAUUGCAGUUAGGCAAAAUGUGCUAUCUCAAAACUAUUUACAACUUUAAUGAAUUUAACUUCACAAUAUUCUGUGAAGUACAGUAUGGGAUGUUAUCGCUGUUUUCUUACAAAUAAACGGAGGCAAAGAGAUUAAAUACCUGAUCCUGCAAGUUUUGAGUGCCAUCUGUGUGGUGCUGGGAAACCUCCAUCGCUUCCCUGGGAGUAGAAGGUAAUCACCAGCUCAGGAGGUGCUCAGCAUCUUGCAGAAUGAAACCCAGAGGCUACGUCUACACUACAGACCUUACAGUGGCACAGCUGUACUGCUGCAGGUGUGCCUCUGUAAGGUUUCCUGUAUAGUUGCUCUAUGACUAGGGGAGAGAGCUCUCCCACCGGCAUAAUUAAACCACCCCCAACGAGCGGCAGUAGCUAUGUCGGUGGGAGUUGCUCUCCCACUGACAUAGUGCUGUCCACACCAGCGCAUUUGUCAGUGAAACUCAUGUUGGUCAGUUCGUUUUUUUUCCUCCACACCCUGACCAACAAAAGUUUUGCUGAUGAAACUGCUAGUGUAAACAAAGGCUAAGCGUAAAAUCCCUUUGAUUUCAGUGUGAUCAGGAUGUGCCCUUAAAUGCCUUACCAAAAUCUCACAGGAAAUCUGUACUUGUAAUGAAGUAGAACACAGAUCUCCUUCAAUUCUGAACCUUAGCUGUUAUUCUUCCUCCCAUGCGAAAUGCAAAACAUUAGUUCAACAUUUAGUUGAAAUAUUACAAGCACAAAUCUCAGGAUGAUUCACAGACCAACUGUAACCUGAUCCAAUUGCAUUUUAAAUGGUGAUAGGUUUUCUGCCUUAAAAUGUAUAUGUGUAAUGUGCUUGAGUUGUGUAGAAGAAAUUAAACUGUACAUUUCCCAACUUGUGUGUCUGUUGCAUCAACAUUUUAAAUUUAAUAUAGAGAAGGUGCACACUAAUUACUCAACCAUUUCUUUUUAAUUCAGAAAAAGUAAUUUAUGACUUAUUGUGAAUUACAUACAUGUUGAUUUAGAGCUUUUAUGAAGAAUCCAUCUUUUGGUUAUCCAAAUCUAUAUAAGAAUAAUUUUCUUAGAGCGAAACACUUUUUCCCCCCUGCUUUCAUCUCAAGUGCCUCCUUGAUCAUAAUGUUAUGGUAACUAAUAUAUUAAAUUACAAUGUAAACAAUGGGGCAGAUAUUUAAAAUUCAUGAGAGGAACAAUGUAAUAGUACUAACUUUAAACUUGGUGCUUGCUACAGACAGCCAAGUGCAUUAUAAGCUGAGUACGCCUCAUGAACAGGUGAAGCAAGCGUUUCGGAUGACAAUUUUGGGGUCAUAAUGUAUUUGUCACAAAAUGUACUGGUCUUACUUUUAAAUAUUUUCUUUACCUUAAAUGCCAUAGAAAAAGAAAAGUUAAGCAGGGAUAGGAGGUAACUUGCUAGGCUGAUAAAUUAUGCGUUUAUCCUGAGUGUGUCUCAAAAAUGUUGGCUCAUCUGUAACAGAGACUUUGGAGAGGUUUAUCUAAUCUUCCACCAUAUGAUACCUUUCAUGUGCUUCAGCUGUUUGCUUUGCUAACCAACCAGUUAUUUCAGGUCCCUGUCCAGAAAAAUGUCUCCAUAAUUUGGUCCUAUGGAAUUUUUGUGUGGUAUCUUUUUUUUUUUUUUUAAAGUAUUCCUAAUCUAAUAUCUCUCUGGAAUGUUUCUCUGCUUAAUAAAUUUGUGGGUGACCCAAUUUGGAUGGUCUCAGGGGACUCUUAUUUAGGAGCACAAUGGGCUCUUGAAGUUCUAGUGCUUAGGGCAUGUUUUGCUGACUGCAGGUGGGAAACAAAUUUUAAUAUUUCUUCAUUUAUAAUAGAUUAGACAAACAAGUCUGUAAAAUGAUAGAGUGAACCUUUCAAGAACUUCAAAAAUCCUGUGUAUUUUAAUUGUAUUGCCUAGUAUAAGCAACUGUUUCUCUUCAAAAGCGUUGUGUAGAUGUUUUAAAAUAAUUCUAGAAAUAAAUUGUCCUCAGAAUCUCACAGCUAAACAGCAUUAAGCCACUGUCCGUGUUGGAAAUAUUGGAUCCUACCAACAGCUUUCAGUGACAUCUUUUGUGGGGUAAGAACAGUGCCUCCAGCAGUGAUGGGAGAGUGCACACCCAAGUGGUAGCAUAUACUGUAGCAUUUUAAAUGAAGCAAUGUGUGCCACACCAAAUCCACUGACUGGUGUGGAGGGAGGCUGGACUUCUCCAAAUAAAUUACACAUAUCAAACACAGGAAUGGUGUGGUUAGGGUGACCAGACAGCAAGUGUGAAAAAUCAGGACGGGGUGGGGGAUAAUAGGCACCUAUAGAAGAAAAAGCCCCAAAUAUCAGGACUAUCCCUAUAAAAUAGGGACAUCGGGUCACUCUAGAUGUGGUACCACUAGGAUACCAGGGAGUGAAAGGAGCAAAGAUUUGAUCCCGUAGCACUGACCUCUAUAACAGUUUUUCUGGUGACUUUAGCAGGAGCAUGGCUCAGUUGAGGAGGAGAAGGACAUUGAAGAGAAACUAAACAAAUGAGCAGAAAUAAAAAUUAAAAUAUAAUUGUAAAACUAAAUGAACAUGAUAGGAGAGGGACAAAUCAUCACAGUAUCCAUAAAAUAAAAUAAUCUUUCUACAAUAUGGAAUACUUUGAGUGUGUCAACUAAAGAGUAUAAAUUAUUUAGACUUUCAAAACUCUUUUUCUAGAGUCAUCACCCCGGAGGCUGUUAAGGAUACUAAAUAGUCAACGACUGACAGUAUGUAGAUCCGCAGCAAAUGUAGUGUGGCUCUGGAGUCCUUAAAGGUAUGAAGUGAUGCAUCGAUAUUGUCUGCAAACAGUUUGGAGCCCUCGAAAGGGAAGUCCUCGACCGUCAUCUGUACCUCCUUUGGCAGUUCUGAGAGGUGUAACCACGAUGCCCAACGCACUGCUACUGCCAUCGACACCGAAUCAGCCGCUGUAUCCGUGGUAUCUAGUGCUGUCUGGAGAGCUGUUUUCACUACUAACUGUUCCUCAUGUAUGAUAAUCUGAAACUGUUCCCAUUGUGUUUCUGGCAGGUGGUCAAUAAAUGCAUGAAAUUUGGUGUA